rnacentral:tRNA from 1 species
CGCGGGUGGUGCUGGGGCCUGCGACGGCCGAACAGCUGGAGACCGUUCUGGGCGCGCCGCCGCACACCACGCGGGUGGAUCAGAUGCCGCCCGGGCGCGG